CAGUCAUAUAAUGUUGAAACACCAAUUCCAGUACGAUCACCGAAGUUAAGCAACGUCGAGCCUGGUCAGUACCUGGACGGUGACCGCUUGGGAAUGACAGGUGUUGUAAG
rnacentral:rRNA from 1 species